UCAGGACUAGUCGGGAUAGCUCAGUUGGUAG
rnacentral:tRNA from 1 species